GGAAUAUUGGACAAUGGGCGCAAGCCUGAUCCAGCCAUGCCGCGUGUGUGAAGAAGGCCCUCGGGUUGUAAAGCACUUUUGUUGGGGAAGAAAAGACCGGGGUGAAUAACUCUGGUUCAUGACGGUACCCAAAGAAUCAGCACCGGCUAACUUCGUGCCAGCAGCCGCGGUACUACGAAGGGGGCAAGCGUUACUCGGAAUUACUGGGCGUAAAGCGUGCGUAGGCGGUGUGUUAAGUCUGUCGUGAAAGCCCCGGGCUCAACCUGGGAAUGGCGGUGGAUACUGGCAGGCUAGAGUACGGUAGAGGAUGGUGGAAUUCCCGGUGUAGCAGUGAAAUGCGUAGAGAUCGGGAGGAACAUCUAUGGCGAAGGCAGCCAUCUGGACCAGUACUGACGCUGAGGCACGAAAGCGUGGGGAGCAAA
rnacentral:rRNA from 1 species